AUCUACUCCCCGCACACUGCGGUUCCUGCGCGCCGUCCGCACCCAUCUGGCGAUGGCUCGCUCGGUUUUGUUAGCG
rnacentral:sRNA from 2 species